AAAGACCAUAUACUUUAUAGUAGCGUUUUUAUAAAGCUCAAAACCAAGCAAAACAAAACAAUAUAUAUUGUUAGGGAUACAUUCGUGCAUAAGAAAAGUAUUUUUUAAGGCAGGGGGAAUGAUAAACAUAAAAUUCCAGACACUGUGACCCUGGGAGUGGGUAGGAAAGUGGGAUGGGGACAAGCACAGUAGCUAGCAAGCGAGCUUGGGUAGGGAGGUGGCGUUUGGGAUGACCAUUUUGUUGUUCUGCUCCAAAGCUUACAGGCGUGUUCUGUGUGUUCUUUUUAUACAUUCACCUGCCACAAAGUAAUUUGGAAGAUGAGAUGGAGAGGGUCCCAGAGGUACUCCUUCUUACCAUCUGCUCCCCACUCUGAGUAUCUGGUGGCAGGAACCCGGGUGUCUACUGAGUGCCCAGACUCCAGCCUCGCCCUGCUUCACAGCUCUACUCUCGUUCCCUCCCCUUCCUCCCGCGCUCUGGCUCGGGCCACCACGCUGUGGCCCCAGCCCCCUCACUCCCAUGAAGAUCAUCCUCGAUGAUCACGAAGCACAGUGGACAAUUUCAGUUCUGGUCUCGUGUGACAGCUCAGUGGCAUUUGCCACUGCUGAUCCCUGCCUGCUCCUUCUCCAAGCACGUCUUCCUUGGCACUCAAGUAAACUCCAUGCCUCGGCCAGAGGAGACCUGACCGACUGUCUACGCAGUACCUGGGACAGUGCCUGGGCCCUACGAAGCAGGUGGUACAAAAUGCUGGAAGGAAGGAUGAAUAAAUAAAUGGCAAGCA